rnacentral:rRNA from 1 species
UAAGGAAUAUUGCGCAAUGGGCGACAGCCUGACGCAGCGACGCCGCGUGGGGGAUGAAGGUCUUCGGAUUGUAAACCCCUUUCGGCAGGGAAGAUGGAACGGGUAACCGUUCGGACGGUACCUGCAGAAGCAGCCACGGCUAACUUCGUGCCAGCAGCCGCGGUAAUACGAAGGUGGCAAGCGUUGUUCGGAUUUACUGGGCGUACAGGGAGCGUAGGCGGUUGGGUAAGCCUUUCGUGAAAUCUCCGGGCCUAACCCGGAAAGUGCGGAGGGGACUGCUCGGCUAGAGGAUGGGAGAGGAGCGCGGAAUUCCCGGUGUAGCGGUGAAAUGCGUAGAGAUCGGGAGGAAGGCCGGUGGCGAAGGCGGCGCUCUGGAACAUAUCUGACGCUGAGGCUCGAAAGCGUGGGGAGCAAACAGGAUUAGAUACCCACGUAGUCCCUGAGCGGGCUGGCAAGGCGCAU